GGUAGGCGGUGUGCAUGGUGUAAGUCCGUGUUAUGCGUUGUUGCCCGGCUGUGUUUUGCUGUCUGUGCAGCAGCGCUCACUCCACACCUGCAGCCAUAGAACAUGAGGAGAGCAUAGUACUGGCCCUUGUUGGUCAUUCGUGACUACUUCCCAUCGGCCAGCCUCCAAACUCUCCAACACAC